GAAAGGCUCAUUAAAUCAGUUAUGGUUCCUUAGAUCGUACCCACAAUUACUGGAUAACUGUGGUAAUUCUAGAGCUAAUACAUGCAAACAGAACUCCGACCGGAGACGGAAGGAGUGCUUUUAUUAGAUCAAAACCAAUCGGUGGCGGGCUCGUCAUCGUACAACUUGGUGACUCUGAAUAACUUUACGCUGAUCGCACGGUCAUCGCACCGGCGACGCAUCUUUCAAAUGUCUGCCUUAUCAACUGUCGAUGGUAGGUUCUGCGCCUACCAUGGUUGUAACGGGUAACGGGGAAUCAGGGUUCGAUUCCGGAGAGGGAGCCUGAGAAACGGCUACCACAUCCAAGGAAGGCAGCAGGCGCGCAAAUUACCCACUCCCGGCACGGGGAGGUAGUGACGAAAAAUAACGAUACGGGACUCAUCCGAGGCCCCGUAAUCGGAAUGAGUACACUCUAAACCCUUUAACGAGGAUCAAUUGGAGGGCAAGUCUGGUGCCAGCAGCCGCGGUA
rnacentral:rRNA from 1 species